UAAACAUUCACAAUAAUGUAGUGCUUUUUAUUUAAAAAACAAACAAAAAAAACCCAAAUAGAAUAUAAAACAAAAAGUAAAAACCAACAGCAUUUUCAUGACUUUAGAAUCAUAAUUACAAACUUUUAACGAGUGGAAGAAGUUGACAAACUGUACACAUCACAAAAUGUCUGCCAGUCUGCCCAUUUACAAUGCUUGCAUCUUAUUUUGUGAUUGUCUAAAAAUAACUAAACAAAUCACACAAAACACACAAAUAGCCUACAAGCACAAGCAUCAUAUUUAUGACUGCUAUCACAAAAACAGAACCAAAAAGGAAGAACAUAUUUAGCUGACAGUUAUACUUUUGUUUCUGUCAUCUUUCAUAAUAUCAUAACAUUUUUAUGUUGGUUUGUUUUUUUAGUGUUCAACACUUUGCAGCAAAAACAAGGAGCAUAUUUUCUCCUCAAAAGUAAAAUUAUUGAUAUUAAUUAUUACAGCGACAGAUGUCAUUUCAGAGUCACUUAUGUCCCAAUGCCUUUUAUGAAGUUCGUUUGACAUUCUUCUCGCUCAUGCAGUACAUAGAUGAAUUUCAUUUUUAGGGAACAAAAAUUCAGUUAAAAUUCUUAUGUCAUUCAUUUAGGACAGUUGUGGUACAUUUUACUGGACAAAAACACCUCUUCUUUCUCCUUCAAGCUUAAGUGUCUCGAUUAUAGUAAUACAAAUGGCAGACAAUCAUUAUAAUAAUACAUAUGGGUCUGAGUUCUGUACAAUACAAUAAUACACAAAAUCUGUUAUCAAGAUAUUGCUUUUGGAGACACUUCUCACAUAAUCCCAGUCUGUAUAUACAUAACUUGGCACUGUACAACUUUCUGUCCUCUUUCUGUCAGUUUCUUUACUCUCUCGGUCUGUCAGUCCAUCUUGAUAGGACAUUUCUGUCAAAGUCCCAUUUUAAACAGAAGUGUUUGGAAAAAAGAAAUCUCAUCAAAUCACACAAAUUAUUUAAAAGUAUUCUCCAUGGCAACCAGAACACAUUUGAAGAAUAAAAUGUACAGCUAGAAUUCCUCCCUCCCAACAAAUACCCCUCACAGAAUAUAUGAAAAUAUGACCAUCACGAUACAUUUUAUGUUUCCAUAAUUUCCCAUAAAAUGUUAAUUGCCAUCAAGCCCUUAAUUUUUUUCUUUUUUUCUUCAAGAAUUCUGGCAGAUUACUGACACAUAAAUGUGCAUACACAAUACGCACACACUCACGCAAGGCAGUCAGGGAUCACGGCGCUCUAAGGCGUUACAGUAAGAGCCAGUGUUCCGCCACCUGACUUAGUUAAGCUGGUGAAUCAGGUACUUCAGAAAGAGGGGUGAAGUGGACUGCCUCACAAACCAAACAAGACACUUGACUGACCAAAAGCGCACACUCCAUCUUCCCAAAGACCACCAGCCAUUCUCCCGUCCUUCCUUCUCUGUUCCUAUAUAUAUAUAUAAUAUAUAUAUAUAUAAUAUAUAUAUAUAAGAUAAUAUACUUAUUAAGUUGCUUGUCAGACUGGAUCAUCCAAUACUGUGUGUUAGUGUGUCUCGUUGAUACAUUAUAGAGCGCCAACAAUAUCCAUGGUACCAAAGUGCAGUUGACCAACCUCGUUCCUGCUGCUUCUCUCCUAGUUCAUCGUCAACAGUGUAUGCUUACUGUACACUGCAUAGCCUCUGAGGAUAGUCCUGGUACAUUAACCCUACGUUUAGUUUGUCAUCACCACUUAGUCCCACUAGGGUGCGCCAGUCUCCAGUGUUCUCAUUCCCAUUUGUUGUUUAAAAAAUUGAAGUCAAUAUGAGUCUGUGGCUGCAUGCCACAGCCAUGUUCAGUACCACUUUGUUCCUUUAUUUUGCUCAUCAAAAAUAAUUGACUCAAGGUUGCACUGAUGAGCCAUGUAUGGAUAAUGUGACACCUAUGUAAUUGUCUCUCUGUCCCAAGUAACAGGGCUGUCUUUGAUGAAUAUAUGUUCAAUGCGCAUUUUUAAGUGCAUGGGGUACAUUUUCCUACGUAAAAAAAGUAAAAAUAAAAUAUGCAUUUGCAUCGUACUUCAAUAAGUCUGGGUCCACCCUCCUGAGAAGUCCUUGGGUCCCCUACAAAACCGUUAUCAAUGAUCACGACUGCUGAGUGCACUGCUUCAAACCAUUUAUUUGUUGAGUUGUUUCAUCACUUGAGAUGAAAGGUUGGGGAAGAGGGGACACCACCUGAAGGGGCGCCAAGAGAAGGGAACCAACCUUUUCACUUUGUGGUGACCUUCCCUUUGUAAAUGUCGUCUUCCCUCUUUCCAUUUCCCCCCCACCUCUCCCAAGUAAAUGAAAGGGGAAUGUGCUUGCCAGGUAAGUGGCAACAUCAUUUUCUACCCACAAAGUCUCCGAAUCCAAGUGUCCGUCUACGUAAUCGCCUUCCUGACCCCUCCUCUAGAAGAUAAGUGACAUCUAUGGCUGUUGGAAGAAGAGAGAGAAGUUACCAAACACCAAUGACACAUUCAGUUAACUGUCUGAUAUUUCCUUCAUCAACUCAACAGUUUCCAUUCUUCAUCAAACCACCCCUCUGUCGUAAUUCCCGUUUCCUCAUUGCCUGCUCACCGUUCUUAUUGGGUGUUCUGUGUAGCAGAUCCAGCAGAAUCUUGUUUAGCCGAUCCCUUUGCGCCUCCCUCCUGCCCAGUCCGGAGUGAUGGAGAGGUGAGGAAGACAUGGAGGGGAGGAGCUCCAGCACGUCAACUCCUCUCUCUGCUGUACCUUCCUCCAGCUCCCUAUGCUCCUCUACCUCCUGCCCCGCCUCCUCCUCUUCUCCAUCCCUUGGCCCAUCUGGUCGCGUGGGUUGGGCAGCGGUAGGGAGUGUGGGUUCUUCAUGGGCAGUGUCCAUGUCCCCCUCCACCACUCUUCGGUUGUCACUCUCCGGACGGAAGUCGUCACCCUGGUCGCAUGGGGAAGCGUCGUCCUCACAGGCCCCUCCAACUCCUUUGGGCCGCUCGCUCUUCCAGGCCGAACGCCCCCCGUUCCUCUUGUAGUUGUCAGGAACGUAGUGCGGCUGUGGCGAGGUUGGAAAGGAAUAAAGGCUCUUUAAUUUGACUUACAAGUUGCUCAUACAGGACUUCAUUUUUGGGAUUAUUAACAAUUUGUUUUACUAACUGUGUAUAAAGCUGGACCCCAAUCUUCUCUCUUAGGAUAACUAACGGUUUGCAAAAACACCCACGAAAAGAACGGUGGGCACAUAUCAGUCGUCACUGGUGCCCAAUCAACCUCUUUGACAAAACAACUUUGAUACACUUCUCUAGUUGCACUCAAUUCAAGCCCAUAACGGAACCUUAUAUCAAUACUACCUCAUCAAACUAGCCUCACUAAAACUACAUACGGACACUUCAAUACAAACAACCCCCACCCCUCCUCUUGGACCCUCUUACUGAGAAGUCUCUCUUGGGGGCCAGCCUCUUGGGGAAGUGGUUGAAGGCGUAGGGCUUAGUGCACACGGGGAAGCGGUUGCGGUGGAUCUUGUAGAAGAGGUGCGCCGACUUGUCCAGGCGGUAGUCACAGAUGUACACGUCCUGCUCCUUCACUCCUUUCGGCCGUCCUGAGAAAAAAACAAACGCACCACAGGUCAGGUUAGGUAAUUAUGUGUGUUAGCUCAGUGUGUUUGUUUUGAA
ensembl:lncRNA